UCGGGAAUUUUGGGCAAUGGGGGAAACCCUGACCCAGCAACGCCGCGUGAAGGAUGAAGUAUUUCGGUAUGUAAACUUCGAAAGAAUAGGAAGAAUAAAUGACGGUACUAUUUAUAAGGUCCGGCUAACUACGUGCCAGCAGCCGCGGUAAUACGUAGGGACCAAGCGUUGUUCGGAUUUACUGGGCGUAAAGGGCGCGUAGGCGGCAUGACAAGUCACUUGUGAAAUCUCUGGGCUUAACCCAGAACGGCCAAGUGAUACUGUCGCGCUAGAGUGCAGAAGGGGCAAUCGGAAUUCUUGGUGUAGCGGUGAAAUGCGUAGAUAUCAAGAGGAACACCUGAGGUGAAGACGGGUUGCUGGGCUGACACUGACGCUGAGGCGCGAAAGCGUGGGGAUCAAACAGGAUUAGAUACCCCCGUAGUCCCUGAGCGGGCUGGCAAGGCGCAU
rnacentral:rRNA from 1 species